CCUACGGUGGGCUGCAGUGGGGAAUAUUGGACAAUGGGCGAAAGCCUGAUCCAGCCAUGCCGCGUGUGUGAAGAAGGCCUUCGGGUUGUAAAGCACUUUCAGUGGGGAAGAAAGCCUUGGGGCUAAUACCCUCGAGGAAGGACAUCACCCACAGAAGAAGCACCGGCUAACUCCGUGCCAGCAGCCGCGGUAAUACGGAGGGUGCGAGCGUUAAUCGGAAUUACUGGGCGUAAAGCGCGCGUAGGCGGUCUGAUAAGCCGGUUGUGAAAGCCCCGGGCUCAACCUGGGAACGGCAUCCGGAACUGUCAGGCUAGAGUGCAGGAGAGGAAGGUAGAAUUCCCGGUGUAGCGGUGAAAUGCGUAGAGAUCGGGAGGAAUACCAGUGGCGAAGGCGGCCUUCUGGACUGACACUGACGCUGAGGUGCGAAAGCGUGGGUAGCAAACAGGGUUAGAUACCCUAGUAGUC
rnacentral:rRNA from 1 species